GACGAACGCUGGCGGCGUGCUUAACACAUGCAAGUCGAACGGUGAAGGUGGAGCUUGCUCCGCCGGAUCAGUGGCGAACGGGUGAGUAACACGUGGGCAACCUGCCCCUCACUUCGGGAUAACUCCGGGAAACCGGGGCUAAUACCGGAUACGACCUCCUUGGGCAUCCUUGGAGGUGGAAAGUUUUUCGGUGAGGGAUGGGCCCGCGGCCUAUCAGCUUGUUGGUGAGGUAGUGGCUCACCAAGGCGACGACGGGUAGCCGGCCUGAGAGGGCGACCGGCCACACUGGGACUGAGACACGGCCCAGACUCCUACGGGAGGCAGCAGUGGGGAAUAUUGCGCAAUGGGCGAAAGCCUGACGCAGCAACGCCGCGUGCGGGAUGAAGGCCUUCGGGUUGUAAACCGCUUUCAGCAGGGAAGAAGCCGCAAGGUGACGGUACCUGCAGAAGAAGCACCGGCUAACUACGUGCCAGCCGCCGCCGUAA
rnacentral:rRNA from 1 species